AAGCUGUGGACAUUAAUGCUUAAAGUAGCUAGCUAGAAAAAGUACCAAAAGGCUUAAAGCAUAUAUAAUUAUUAAAUAUUUUGGAGCAAAUUAAGUUUAGUACGUAGUAAUAUUAUAUCAAUCUCAAGUAGUAGUAGUAGACUAUGUUUGAGUUUAAACGCUUAGACUAAAUCGCUCUCGAACGCCAGAAAUAUAAGUAGCAGCUUUCAUAUAUCAAUGCUUUCGUCUCCAGCAGCAUACAGGUGGGCGGUGGCGGUACUGGCGGGGGGGCUAUGAUCAAACUUCCAAUACGAGUCGGGUAUAACUGCAAACCCUACCGACGGAGUAGAAGAAGAAGCAAUAUUUUGCUUUGCAAUUGGUUGAUCAGAUAUUAUUUGACUACUACUCGAAUUUGAGGAUGUUCGAUGAAAAUUAGACAUUGUCAGCUGCUUGGCCUUCAUCAUCAAACCCUUGCCCAGCUUGUAUUCCAUUAAUUCUCACCUACUUCUAUUCUUUCUUCGAUCUUGUUUGUUUAGUAAUCUGCAAUAUAUAUAUAUAUAUAUGCGAACUGGCUAGAUAUAUAAAUAUAUAUGAUGAGGUUUAAGUACUG
rnacentral:lncRNA from 1 species